UGUGUGCGGGUCUGUGGUUGAAAGUCGAUGCCAGUCGCAGGCGAAACGACCCACGUAAGGCAACUCGUGGUUGCUGAGCAUGGUGCGGCUUAGGAGUAAGUCCUGCCCGCGUUGCUCCCGGCUCUCGGGGGAGCGCGGAGAUGAGGUGACGCGUGCCAUCAGUGGCUCCGAAGGGUCUACCGCCGGUGACGGUCGGUGCCGCCGGAGUCCGGCCGCAACUCUCACCGCAGGCGAGUGUGGGGUCAAAGACCAGGUCAGCCGCCCGCA
rnacentral:ncRNA from 1 species